UUGUCAUGCUUCCAAGAAAAGCCCUAUACCCGUUAAGGCAUGAUGGCCUGUACCCGAAACCGACACAGGUGGGGUGGUAGAGAAUACCGAGGGGCGCGAGGUAACUCUCUCUAAGGAACUCGGCAAAAUGGCCCCGUAACUUCGGGAGAAGGGGUGCCACCGCAAGGUGGUCGCAGUGAAGAGGCCCAGGCGACUGUUUACCAAAAACACAGGUCUCCGCUAAGUCGCAAGACGAUGUAUGGGGGCUGACGCCUGCCCAGUGCCGGAAGGUUAAGGAAGCUGGUCAGCGUAAGCGAAGCUAGCGACUGAAGCCCCGGUGAACGGCGGCCGUAACUAUAACGGUCCUAAGGUAGCGAAAUUCCUUGUCGGGUAAGUUCCGACCCGCACGAAAGGCGUAACGAUCUGGGCGCUGUCUCGGAGAGAGGCUCGGCGAAAUAGAAUUGUCUGUGAAGAUGCGGACUACGUGCACCCGGACAGAAAGACCCUAUGAAGCUUUACUGUAGCUUGGUAUUGUGCUCGUGCUCGGAAUGCGCAGGAUAGGUGGGAGGCUAUGAACCAUUGCUUGUGGGUGAUGGUGAGCCACUGGUGAGAUACCACUCUUUCCGAGCUAGAGUUCUAACAGCCACCCGUUAUCCGGGGGCUGGACAGUAUCAGGUGGGCAGUUUGACUGGGGCGGUCGCCUCCUAAAAGGUAACGGAGGCGCGCAAAGGUUUGCUCAGGCUGGUUGGAAAUCAGCCGACGAGUGUUAAAGCAGAAGCAAGCUUGACUGUGAGACCUACAAGUCGAACAGGGAGGAAACUCGGCUUUAGUGAUCCGACGGUUCUGCGUGGAAGGGCCGUCGCUCAACGGAUAAAAGUUACUCUAGGAUAACAGGCUGAUCUCCCCCAAGAGUUCACAUCGACGGGGAGGUUUGGCACCUCGAUGUCGGCUCAUCGCAACCUGGGGCUGAAGUCGGUCCCAAGGGUUGGGCUGUUCGCCCAUUAAAGCGGUACGCGAGCUGGGUUCAGAACGUCGUGAGACAGUUCGGUCCAUAUCCGGUGCAUGCGCAGGAAUAUUGAGAGGAUUUCUCCCUAGUACGAGAGGACCGGGAGGAACGCACCUCUGGUGUACCAGUUAUCGUGCCAACGGUAAACGCUGGGUAGCCAUGUGCGGAGAGGAUAACCGCUGAAAGCAUCUAAGUGGGAAGCCCACCUCAAGAUGAGUAUUCCCAUGGGGUAACCCAGUAAGGUCACGGGAAGAACACCCGUUGAUAGGCUCUACGUGGAAGCGCAGUAAUGUGUGAAGCGGAGGAGUACCAAUAGACC
rnacentral:rRNA from 1 species